GUCUUAUGCCAGCGGCCAGUACAUAUAAUAAAUUGGAUACGAUACAGAGAAGAUUAGCAUGGCCCCUGCGAAAGGGAUGAUAACCAAAUUCGUGAAGCGUUUCCAUAUUUU